AACUUUUAGCAACGGAUCACUUGGUUCUGGCAUCGAUGAAGAACGCAGCGAAAUGCGAUAAGUAAUGCGAAUUGCAGAAUUCCAGUUAGUCAUCGAAUCUUUGAACGCACAUUGCGCCGUUUGGUUUUCCGAAGGGCAUGCCUGUUCUAGCGUCAUUAUCACCCCUCAAGCCCCGCGCUUGGUGUUGGACGGCCGUUCGAGCGAUCGACCCCUCCUAAAGACAAUGACGGCGGCCUGCGGUUCCCCCGGUACACUGAGCUUUUAACCGAGCACGUAUCGGACCAGGGCACCCGGGACCCGGUCCUCUCCUUUAACUAGGAAACUUCUAAGGUUGACCUCGGAUCAGGUAGGAAUACGCGCUGAACUUAAGCAUAUCAAUAAGCGGAGGGU
rnacentral:misc_RNA from 1 species